AUCGCCGCUACCGCCCUCUCCCUCCUAGAUCCAAUCCAAGUCAGAGCCCCCGGGCUCCAUCUCCAUUCCUGCGCGCGUCGACCACCUCCCUCCGGUGGAGCUCGACCCCCACCCGCCAAGCGCCACUGCUCCACCCUCUCCCGCAAGGGUCUUGAGUUUACCCCAUCCCCUCCACCAGCGAGCCUCUCUGCUGCCCGCAGGGGCACAAGCUCCGUCCCCUGUUGCUCUCCCUGUUGGCCCUCCUCACUCGCCCCUGCUCCGCCUCGACCGGCCAGCGCGCCGCCAUGAUCGGCCAGCCCAAGCUCGCGUCGCCCGCUUUGUUCGCCGGAUCUGGCCGCCUCUCUCUCUUCCCCAACUAUCUAUUUGUCUGGAUUUCUCUAUCUGAAUCUCUCUCUCUACAGGCACCCAUGAAGGCGAAGAUGGAUCCUCACCGGCGAUGAGGAUGCCUGGACUACUCGGGUGGUAGCCGCCACGGCUUCUUCUUCUCCAAGCUUCGGCCCCGGCCAUGGCAGCGAUGAUCCAGUCCGUGAAGGCCCGCCAGAUCUUCGACAGCCGCAACAACCCCAUUGUCGAGGUUGAUGUGUGCUGCUUAGAUGGAACCUUCGCCAGGGCCAUUGUUCCCAGCGAUGCAUCAACCGGUCUUUAUGAAGCUUUGGAACUGAGGGACGAUAUAUGGAUCUGACUACUUGGGAAAGGGUGUUUCCAAGGCUCCAUUUGAGCGAAUUUUGUAUUAGCGUGGACAAUGAAUUCCUAAGCUACAAUCUUAAGUAAUUGUGUUACCUAGUUAGUGUUGGUGUAGUCUACCGUUGCUCACAUCUUUUGGUCUAACAUAUCUGUAGUGUUACUGUGUUGGUAUGCAUGGUACCUUGCCGCUGUGUUGCCCUGACAUUUCUGCAUGGUUGUUUUGUGCUGUUGGCCUAAUUAAACAAGAUAAAUAUGUAUACUUCUUUGAGAUAGAAAUUCCAUGCAUGUUUAUGAGGCACAAUUUCUUUGUGAUAACCAUAACUGUAAUUCAAAAGAAAAAACUAGCAUCUUAAAUAAUCAGCUUACUAAUGUAGGAGUAGUAGAAACUUCGUGGUUGAUCCUGA